rnacentral:rRNA from 1 species
UACGUAGGGUGCGAGCGUUGUCCGGAAUUAUUGGGCGUAAAGGGCUCGUAGGCGGUUUGUCACGUCGGGAGUGAAAACUCGGGGCUUAACCCCGAGCCUGCUUCCGAUACGGGCAGACUAGAGGUAUGCAGGGGAGAACGGAAUUCCUGGUGUAGCGGUGAAAUGCGCAGAUAUCAGGAGGAACACCGGUGGCGAAGGCGGGUCUCUGGGCCGAUACUGACGCUGAGGAGCGAAAGCGUGGGGAGCGAACAGG